rnacentral:rRNA from 1 species
UACGUAGGGUGCAAGCGUUGUCCGGAAUUAUUGGGCGUAAAGAGCGUGUAGGCGGCCCGAUUAGUCCGCUGUGAAAGUCCAGGGCUCAACCCUGGAAUGCCGGUGGAUACUGUCGGGCUAGAGUCCGGAAGGGGCGAGUGGAAUUCCUGGUGUAGCGGUGAAAUGCGCAGAUAUCAGGAGGAACACCAAUGGCGAAGGCAGCUCGCUGGGACGGUACUGACGCUGAGGCGCGAAAGCGUGGGGAGCGAACAGG